rnacentral:lncRNA from 1 species
GCCAAGACAAACAACUAGGCUCACCCUCAUAGUCAAAACAUAACUAAAAGGAAAAGUCUUAUACAUAGCAAAAGAUCAUAAGCAACGUCCCCGGAAUGGAGGACUCACCAAUAACCUUGAUAGGAAAUCGUAUUAGCCACACGGAGGAGGAUGGUCAAGCGGUGCUCCGGUCCCUACAUGGUGACAUCAUGUAGGCAUAGAGUAUGCGUUAGUACGUUUGAAUGUACUAAGUAUAUGGGAUGCAAUGCAAUGCAACAAGGGAUGGACAUCAUAGGCAAAAUGCAUAAUCGUACCCGAUAGAUAGCAUAUUAAUGAGAUGAUAUGUAUAAUGAUGCUUAUAUAAAAAUCAUAUUUAGUGGGACAUAGUACAUAUGUGGUGAGUGACCAUCAAUAUAGUAUUUCCAAGGCCUACCACCCCCUUGGAGAGGCGAAAGAGGUACAAACCCCUCAAUGUGGUUACCCGGGCCUACAACCCCCCGAGCUAGGCUUGGUCGACUCACACACUAUAUAGAGAAAAUCAUAUACAUGUAUCCAUUUCAUCAUCAUUUCAAUACUUAUAUAAUCAUCCGACUCAUAGGACGUACAUUGGACCUUCCAUUUCAUAAGAAUUCUAUAAAUGGCAUUUUAUCAAACAUAUGGUGGGCUACUUGUUCAUGUAAAUAAAAUCAUGUGUUUCAAGAGUACUAAGUCCAACAAAUUUCAAAAUCCAUGUAAAACAGCCCACCAACAACAUACAUAUAUAUAUACAUAUAUAACAACCUUCAUAAUUUGAUCAUGGAGGCAUGAAAACCAUAAACAUCAUAUAAUCAUUCCAUUUCAUGAUAAUAUACAAAAAUAGACCAUAAUAGGAUGUGUAGUAAUAAUUCCAUAAUUCAAGAGUUCAUAAAUGAUCAUAAGGACCCAUAAACUUGAAGUAAAAUAGAGGAUAAAUGGUUGGACUUGUGGAAAGGAAGGUUUCCACAAUCAACCCACAUACCUCAACUUUGGAGAAUUCUUGAUGAAGAUUGGAAUGGAGAAUUGCUUGAGAUUGAAUCUUGAAUCCGGAAUUAAAGUUUGGGAUCCUUGAAUUUGGUUGAUGAUCUUGGUGGAAUUUUU